AUACGUAGGUGGCAAGCGUUGUCCGGAAUGACUGGGUGUAAAGGGUGCGUAGGCGGCAAUGCAAGUUAGAAGUGUAAUCCCCGGGCUUAACCUGGGAGCUACUUCUAAAACUGUGUAGCUUGAGUGUGGGAGAGGUAAGUGGAAUUCCUAGUGUAGCGGUGGAAUGCGUAGAUAUUAGGAGGAACACCAGAGGCGAAGGCGACUUACUGGACCAUAACUGACGCUGAGGCACGAAAGCGUGGGGAGCAAACAGGAUUAGAUACCCUGGUAGUCCACGCCCUAAACGAUGGAUACUAGGUGUAGGGGGUAUCGACUCCCCCUGUGCCGUCGUUAACGCAAUAAGUAUCCCGCCUGGGGAGUACGGCCGCAAGGCUAAA
rnacentral:rRNA from 1 species